GCUGAGGCUUUUCUCGAGAAAGGAAGCACAGCUCCUCUGCUUUCAAACAACAAUGUUUAACCAACAAAAGAAGUGAGACCAAGUCAACCCCAGUUUACUGUUUCCCCUGAAAGUCAUCAAAUAAAAACGUGAACUUUAAAAUUGAUCAGGAUUAAUUUCACUGACACUGUAUCAUAACAUAUCCCUCUUCGGAGACUCAUUUGUUGAGAGGCAGAUGCAAAGAAACUAAGGAAAGAAAUAAAUCAGAGUACAAUACGGCAAUUAGACUUUUGCCGCUGAUAGAAUACUAAAAACGCACGAUUUAUCAAAGCAUUAACAAACAGAGGUAAACGCAAGACUUAUAUUUUCUUUCGGAACACCGAGAGAGGAAGAUUGAAAUAAUAACCAAGACCAUGUGUAUCGAUAAAUUUUAUUUAUAAAUGUUCAGUUGCCAAAAGAUGCCAUUUCAUCUGCUAAUUUGAAGAGUGCUACAGGCGGGGAUGAUUUAUCAAAGCCAGUGUCAUCCAGUACCGAACACUGCUCUCAUCUCCACUGACACUUUCCUCCCUGGAUGAGAAGGCUCCCAUUAACGGGAAGAACAGUUUGACCACCACCCCUGCAAUCUAUCAUCAUCAUCAUCACCACCACCACCACCACCGUCAUCAUCAUCAUCAUCAUCAUCAUCAUCCCAAUGUACAGAUGAGAAAAGCGUCCUGUGUUUAUCAUGACAGACACAAGAAGGAGCCCCAUCCUACAGGUGCAGUAAGUAUUGCAGUGGGGGCACUGAGCCUUGGCUUCUUCAGCACCCAUCAAGCACUCUGAGACGUCAUACCUCUGCACAGGAAGCUCCCCCUAGUUGGAACACUUCGGUUCAUCUCCCAAGACCUCACCCAUCUUUGCCAUCCAGAUCAGAAGCCUCUUCUGCUGUGGUUUCCUUUCCAGGCUCCCCCGCAAUCUAUUGCACAGUGUUCACGUAUCCCUAAUGUCUCUUCUCUCUUGAGGAAUCUAUCAUGCAAUGGCUCACUUCUCUCCUCACCUCCAAGAGAAGGUGGUAUUUUAGGAAAGGGGGGGGAGGGUGCUCCUUAAUCUUUCUCCGUGUGCUUAGCUUGGUGAUAAACUUGUGUAGAUUUAUUGCAGAUGUGGAAAGCAUCUACUCUGCCUGCGCUCCAGCUAGAUCCCUGUCCCUUCCUUCCUCCGUGUUCUCAUCUAUAAAGCUGUGAUGAUGAAACCUACUACCCAGAAGGGUGUGGUGAAGAUGGAAAGAAAAUGAGAUAUGGAAAUAUGCCAAGCAGAGAGCGGUGCACAGAGUAAGGUCUUCCAAAGGAGUAGAAAAAAAAAAAAAAGAAAUCGGCAAAAAGAGAGAGAGAGAGAAAGUGGCCUAGAGGAAAAGUAAACAGUUAUGAUAAAAACAAACAAACAAACAAAAAACCUGUCACUAUUGAGUUAGAACCGUACAUACCUAUUUUGGGUAAGUUUUAUACAUAUUACUUCAUAAUUCAACUGCCACCUGAUAUCAUCAUCAUUUGCUAUAUAUAUAUUUAUAUUUUAUUUAGGUACUUACUUAUUUGGCUGGGUAUAUGUGUGCCACAGCAUGCAUGCACGGGUCAGAAGGGAGCCUGUGGGGAUCAGCUCUCUCCUUCCACUGUGUGUGAGUUCUUGGAGACCAAACUCAGGUUUUCAGCCGUGGCAGCAAGAGCUUUCACCCACGGAGCCAUCUUGCAGGCACCCAGAGGUGAACAGGCCACCUGGCCCUCAGCGCACAUCUGCAUCUGCUCUUCCCUCUGGCUCUCAACCCAGCCCAGCUCUCCAUCUGGAUCCCAGUUUCUCCCUGCCUGCUCCAAGAAGCACUUGCACACUUACCAAGCGGAAGGCAAAUCAACUCUCUCCUCCAUCUGCCUUACAGGGAUCCCUGAGUUCUUCAGUACCUUGGGGUUUGCAUAUUUGUCUGUGUCUGAGUCCCUCACCUAGAAAGAAAGCGCCCUGAGAAUCAGAUUCUCCAGUGUCGUAACAAACGGAUUGUGCAAUACAGUGAAAGGAAUGAAUCAACAGGGGUACAUAUGCAGUCCCUGUUUUAGAAAGGGACACGGGAUGUGAGGUCAGUGUAGCUAGAGCAUAUUUCAUGCUUGAUCUAGUGUUAGUUGUCUCGCAUGUAUGUGGUAGUAUGUGCAACAUACAUAGUGGGCCGUGUGUAGCUGUGGACUCUGCUCUGUAGCAUCAACCAGUCACUGAUUGGAAUCAUUUCAGGUGGGGACGGGUUGGGAGGGAAGUGUGCCUAUAUUAAAUACAUUAGGGCUGUUUUCUUGUCAUUAUCCCCUAAAUAACGCCAUAUAACAUUUAUAUUAGGUUCUGUAUUAUAAGUAACAUAGAGAUGUUUUAAAGCAGACAAGAGGGUCUGCAAAGGCUAUGAUGCAAACACUCUGCCAUUUUAUCCCGGGGACUUAGAUACCUACAGAUUUCUAUAUGCACAGGGGUCUUGGAAUUAAUCGGCCACAGACACCAUGGGACAAUUGAAUACAGAUAACGGUUCCUCUACUGUAUUUUAAUCAGCUUGACAGUACUCACCUUAUCUUCUCGGACUCAGUCCAUAUGUCAUGCAUACAGUAGGACCCUACUAACUUUUAACCAAUGGGAAAGUUAUUCUAGACAACAAAGACCUUUCUUUCUCAUCUUUGCAUAUCAGAUUUCAGUUCAGAAGGUGGGUUUCCACCACUACCUCGAAUACUUGCUGAUUCAGCCCUGCCAGUGAAUACGUACUUGAAUGUCUUAUGGCAUGUGCUCAUUCCUUUAUGGUUUGCUUCUGGGGUUUGUAUUUUGGGUGUUCUUGGCCUUUUUUUUCUUUUUGUCAUUAUAAGGCAUGGCUCAGCCAUAGUGUACAUAAAAGCUUAUUAAUUGCAUGAAAACUCACAUUAUGUCAGCACCAUUGGGUAUACACACGUUGAACAACCACAGAAAGCAGAUUUAGGGGAAGAUCCAUUCACCUGUGGGGUCUGCUCACCUGGAAACGGACAGGGUUUGUCUGUUUGACAAGGCUAGACUUGUCAAGUGAGAACGUAUGCUUUCAACUGCUCUCUGCGUUCGUGGGUAGAGGGACAUUAUCUCCGAGCACUAGCAUGACUUCUCCCAAUAGUCCUGCUUGUAUUAGUAGCUUUUGCAUCUUCGUGACCAAAAUACCCAAGAGAAAAGACUCAAGGGAGGGGCAGUGUACUUAGGCUCAUAGCUCAGAAGAUUCAGUCCGUGAGUACUAACUCCAUAUGCUCGGACAGGGCAUCGUGGCAAUGGGAACAUAUUUAUAACAGAGGUCAACUGUUUAUAUCAUGGCAGGCAGGAAGCAGAGAGAGAGAGACAGGAAGCACUCUGGGAUGCUAUAAACCCAAGACUCCACAUGAUGUGUACCACCUCCUUCAUGUAGGGACCACCGCCAAAGUUUCCAGAAUCUUGGAGAAUAGCACCCCCAGAAGGGGAGCAAGUAUUCAAGGCACCAGCUGUGGAGACAUUUUGAUCUAAACCCCAGAUUUGCCCAAGUCCUUCACCCCACCCCAUCGCAAAGUGAAGGCGGCAGUGGUGGGAAGUCUGUUAAACAGUUAGGAGUGGCAGCUGCGGAAGAGGUAUUAUGUUUGCAGCUUGUCUCUUUACCCCAGCCAGGAAUUCCAGGUAGCCAUCACACACGGGCCUCAGAGCUGACCAGCCUGAAAAUGUCCUCUUGAGGGAGUUUGACUGUAGAGUCUCUUCCUGGGUCCUGUGCCAAUUGCUGGGCCUCCUAAAACGAGCCAGAGUGCUAGGAGAGAGCCGUCAGGUGGCUCUCUACCUUGAGCAAAAGCACUCACUGGCUCUCAAAUGGCUGCCCAAGAUCAACACUAGACUAGUUCAACUGGAGACACUGAGGCUCCAUAUGAAUCCAGUACUCAUGAAGUCAGGUCCAGUAAACCCGACUGUUCUCAGUCAUGGGGAAUCUGCACGUGCUCCAUCUAGACCGCUUUGACUGGAAAUCCAGUAAGGUCAAGGACCAUGUCUACGUUUUCUUUGCACUGGUCAAUAAGCACGGGCCCUGGAAAGUUACACAUGAAUAAAUACCAAUGACUGAUGAUCAAAGAGCUAUGUGUUGUUUUCUGCAAGGGUAUGGCUUAAAAAUCACCCCAAUCAUAUUAACUGCACAGCCUCCAAAAUACAUCUAUGAUACUAAUAAAAUAUUAUAGCCAUCAUAUAAGAGAAGGAUAAGUAAAUACAGAUAAAAUAAAUUACAGCUGUAAAAUAUCUUACCUUUGUCAAGCGUUUGUAUUCAGUGCCUUCUGACAAUGUUGUCAGAAACGUAAAGAAAUUGGUCACCGUAUAUGAUGAGUAAGUUUAUUGGGUUCUUUGAUUAUAAGAAAAAGAAGCUAAUUUUGUUAAUGUAAACAGAAAAAGAAUAUUCUGGAAAGAUUCAGUGUAUAAAUAAUCUCCAUGUUAGCUGCAGAAGCAGGUUUGGAAAAGAAAAAUCAGCAGCAAGAGUCUAGUGACCUGAGCCCCAAAUAGAUAUGCAUCAGCUUUUGUGUAUGUGUGUGUGUGUGUGUGUGUGUGUGACUUUAUAGUACUGUGUUCAAGAGUCAAGAGUCCCUUAGGCUGAUUGUCCUAAUGUAGCUCCACCCACUGGCUAAGAAAGAAAAGAAAACCUUGUUUACAUUGAUCUUAAACACAACAAUGGAAUACAAUGUGAAAAAUAAAAUGGAGAUUAUACCUUUAUGAAUAAAAGGGAUGUCACAUGGCUGGAAAACACCCCCCCUCCAAGCACAGUUAAAGGGGAAUUAAAAAUUAUGUAUUGUGAGUGCUUAUGUA